AAACCUUAGCCGCCUGGACUCUCUCUCUUGCCCUCAUCUAACUUGCCGAAAAUGGCAAGUUCUCAGGUGUGUACGCUUUUGAUCAGUGUUUUCAAGGCAUUUCGAGCAAGAGCAAUUAAUGUUCUUGCCCUCUCUCACCUGUCUCCACCAUAUCUCAACUGUAGAUGAAGGUAAACCCUCAUCUCUCCCUUACUUUUCUGCGAACAAGGACAAAGUCCUUAAUGAUUUUUUAUUGGCUUUGGCUGAAUCACAAGGAUUCACAAAGAAAUCAUGCAAAAACCACAAUUCCCACAUCAGAUGGGAACCAAAGAUUGAGGCUUUUGGGGUUCUAUAUAAAGAACCCCAUUUCCACCAUCAAACACAGAAAAGCAUUUCUACAAGUGCAAAAACCCAAAGCCUGGAAUUGGAACCCUAAGCUUAUUUCUUCAACUUUUGGGAUUAGUCUAAAGUUUUUAUUUUCUUUUCUUUUGUGGCUGAGUUUCGAGGUUGAGCAGCAAAGGAAUCUCCAAUUUCAAUUCUCAAAAAAGGGCUGCACUUGAAAAGGAUUUUUGACGAAACGGGACGGGACUUUUGGAGGAGCUUACGACGUCUGUGAGGUGCAGAUAUCGGUGAUCCUCCGCAGUAGGCUUCACUUCUUGCUAUUCUGGAGUACUCUUAUCCGAUCCGGAGUCCACUUUUGGUACAGACUCUUUUGCUUUGUAUAUAUUUGGUAUAUCUGACUAUUUGGGUACGGCGGGGCCCUGUCUCGCCACAUGUCUUUGUUUUGAGUUCGUAGAGGCCUGUAGUCAUAUAUGUGGGGCGAGGGUCCUAUGUGUUUAUUGUCUGAUUUUGCUUUCGGGUCUUAAAGCGGUCUGUUUGAUAUGAUGGCCCCAAAUGGCCCUUUGUAUAUAUUUGUAUUUUGACCGGCGA